ACUACUUUUAAUAUUGCACAUGAACUGUUAUAGUUUGAGCCAUUCUAUAAAUGUUCUAGUAUAUUCAGCAAUAUUCAAACCUUUGACAACUGGUAAAGAAAGUAAAUAUCAGAAAUAGGAUUUAACAAGAAAUUUAUGUAGUUUAUGUUCAUAACGGAAGAUGCAACACAAUGAAAGCUCGCAGUAUUGUCACAGGUCCUGCAGAGUCUAGUUCACACACGUGGCCAAGUCAGCAUGAAACAGAUGGAGGUGUGAUUCAACCAGUUAAGUAGGCUGUAUCUGCCCCUCAUCGCCUUGGGAAAAUCAUUGAGGACAUUCUGAUAGGCGCAACUUUGAACUAUCCAGCUAUACACAACCAAAUGCGCAUUAUUGUUGAGCGUUCUGGUGAGAGAACACCACCGAUGACUCUUGCGGCAGUGCCUGCAUGGUCAGGUUGAUACACUGAACUACAAGUCAUGCACUCCAUGAACUUUAAUAUACGGAUUAAAAAGAAUAAAACACUUAUAGAUA